UACAGAGGGGGCAAGCGUUGUUCGGAAUUACUGGGCGUAAAGGGCGCGUAGGCGGCCUUCUAAGUCAGACGUGAAAUCCCUCGGCUCAACCGGGGAACUGCGUCUGAGACUGGGAGGCUUGAAUCCGGGAGAGGGAUGUGGAAUUCCAGGUGUAGCGGUGAAAUGCGUAGAUAUCUGGAGGAACACCGGUGGCGAAGGCGGCAUCCUGGACCGGUAUUGACGCUGAGGCGCGAAAGCCAGGGGAGCAAACGGG
rnacentral:rRNA from 1 species